rnacentral:rRNA from 1 species
AUUGAACGCUGGCGGCAGGCCUAACACAUGCAAGUCGAACGAGUGGCGGACGGGUGAGUAAUGUCUGGGAACCUGCCCGAUGGCGGGGGAUAACUACUGGAAACGGUAGCUAAUACCGCAUACUAUCGGAUGUGCCCAGAUGGGUUUAGCUAGUAGGUGGGGUAACGGCUCACCUAGGCGACGCUCCAUAGCUGGUCUGAGAGGAUGACCAGCCACACUGGAACUGAGACACGGCCCAGACUCCUACGAGAGGCAGAAGUGGGGAAUAUUGAACAAGGGGCGGAAGCCUGAUCCAGCCAUGCCGCGUGUAUGAAGAAGGCUGUCGGGUUGUAAAGUACUUUCGGCGGAGAAGCGUUAUUCGAAGAAUAAGCACCGGCUAACUCCGUGCCAGCCGCCGCGGUAAUUC